UACAGUGCAAGGCCUGUGUGCAUAAGGGAAGCUGAAGACUCCCUUGUAAACUAAACCUCCAGUCCAGACCCUGGAUGUCAAUCACAGUCAACAGAGUGUGAUGCAGAAGGUGGUGUGUCCACUCUACCUCAGCUCUCAAGACAUUCAGAUCCUUCCUCUUUUGGAACACCAAGUAUUGAACCCCUGAAGUGUCAUAUGAAAAGCUUGAAGACCUUGAAGAGAUUAAGGAGAGAGACUCUGAGAGCAUGUGGAGAGGAUAGAGGCAUAGUGGAGCCAUUACCACCAUGAAUGACAUGGUCAUUGUUCCUCUCAGGGGGAGCAGCUACCCACUGAACUCAACUGAUGUCCCUCAGAUAAAGCCAGAUGGGCAGAAGAAUUAACCAGCUCUGCCCUAUCUCUGAUCAUGACCCAAGGGAUUGCUCGUUCUUUGAGUCAUCAGGACAGGUUACAGGUGGACAUUCCCAGAAUUAAUUCACAAUUAGUUUUCUCUCCACUUAAAGAUCCAGUAAAGUCCCAGAAUUGGCUUGUUUCUAUUUUAUGUGGGGAGCAAGUGAGGCAAAACUUCAACCAGCUGACCCUUUAUCUGGAGCAUAAACUUGCAUUUUCCUGCCAUAAAAUUCUCAUUGAAACAUACAUGCAAGUCAGCAGACAGCACCAGUGCUGUGUCUGAGAAGCAUUGCAUUCUAGUGGCAUGUAGGGUUUGCAGGUGGCUAUGCAUUUCCACGGGGUGGCACACAGGACAAGAUGCACCCCUACCAAUAUGACCAUUAGAAAGGAUUACUGGUCACAUUGGCUUUCCCAGAUUCCUCUGCCCCUCAAGAAGUGAGGGUUCCUGCUGUCUGGUUGUCAGGAUGUAGACGUAACCUUUUCUCAGAAUCUGGGUAAUGGACAGAUUUUCUCAAGAAAAACAAUUGGUGGAAGAGAUCAGAUGAUACUCUGAGGAUCGUAAAUGGGGCUUCUGGGGUCCAGGUAGAGGCUGGAGAGGAAAGAUGAGCUUUGCAGGUAUGAAAGGAAGGCAGAGAUGAAAGAGAAAACAGAUAGUCAUCCACCAACAUGUGAGGCACACUGAGCCAGUGUGUACUAGGGAAGGGUUCUGUAGUGAGGAGCAGAGACUGGGGGAUAGACUAGAGUCACAGCUACUGCCUGUGGACAAGACAGAGGCAGAGGCAGAGACCAGACAAGGAGGUUUUGCUACACAUUACAAUGUCCCACCUCCAUCCCUUUGAUCUUUUCUGAAAGACUAAAUAGCAAGGUAAUUGUUUGACUGCUGUGUGUGUGUAUGUGUGUUUGUGCAAGUGCAUGCCUGUGUGAGUGCAAGUGUGUGCAUGAACAUUGGAAAUGGAAGUGUUCUUUUUCAGGAAUAUCCCCCAAAGAAGCCAGAAACAACUCACCCAAGGUUCCUCAUAUACCAGCCCUUUAUUAUUUACUUUAUGUUCCUGGAUGCAGUCUGGGGAAGCCACACUGACCUAAAGUGAUCUGAGUCAACAUGAGUCAGCAGUCAGUUGAUGGCAUCUGUAAGGGAAGAGCAGAGAUUUGGACCACACGACCUGUGUGGCUCAAAGAAGUAGUCCAGCAGCACUCCAGUUCCUACAGUGGCCUUGUGCUUCUCCCUCGGAACAGUCUUCAGUGUGAGCAGGUGCCGGAGAUGGAGGCUCACACAAGCAUCCCAUGGAGGAUCUAGUAGAGACUGAUGAAAUGUGUCCACGGUGAAUAAAGUCCAACUCAGGUUGCAAGUAGUCCCUGACCACCUAGAAGACUUAGUAGCACUUGGGCUUCUCAGCAUUUCUUGUGUUUCUUUUCUCAGUUUUAUAUACUGAAGGAAAAAAAAAAAAAAGGUUACAAAGCAAAGCCUUACUUUAUUCUGAAAAUAUAGUCAGUCUCGUUAGCACUCACUUGAAAUGAUAUUCCUGCUUGUUAGAAGGCCUUAGUAAGGCCCCCUCUACCAAAAAAAAAAAAAUCUGUAUAGCAAUAAUAUGUGUUUAAAAAUAAAAGCCAGCUGCUCAUCACGCAUUCACAGCUUCUUCCUUCACCCUACCCCCUCUUUUCUCUGCA